rnacentral:rRNA from 1 species
GAUGAACGCUGGCGGCGUGCCUAAUACAUGCAAGUCGAGCGAACAGACGAGGAGCUUGCUCCUCUGACGUUAGCGGCGGACGGGUGAGUAACACGUGGAUAACCUACCUAUAAGACUGGGAUAACUUCGGGAAACCGGAGCUAAUACCGGAUAAUAUAUUGAACCGCAUGGUUCAAUAGUGAAAGACGGUUUUGCUGUCACUUAUAGAUGGAUCCGUGCCGCAUUAGCUAGUUGGUAAGGUAACGGCUUACCAAGGCGACGAUGCGUAGCCGACCUGAGAGGGUGAUCGGCCACACUGGAACUGAGACACGGUCCAGACUCCUACGGGAGGCAGCAGUAGGGAAUCUUCCGCAAUGGGCGAAAGCCUGACGGAGCAACGCCGCGUGAGUGAUGAAGGUCUUCGGAUCGUAAAACUCUGUCAUUAGGGAAGAACAAAUGUGUAAGUAACUAUGCACGUCUUGACGGUACCUAAUCAGAAAGCCACGGCUAACUACGUG